AUUGAACGCUGGCGGAAUGCUUUACACAUGCAAGUCGAACGGCAGCACGGGUGCUGCACCUGGUGGCGAGUGGCGAACGGGUGAGUAAUGCACCGGAACGUAUCCAAUAAUGGGGGAUAACGCACCGAAAGGUGUGCUAAUACCGCAUACGCCCUGAGGGGGAAAGCGGGGGAUCGUAAGACCUCGCGUUAAUGGAGCGGCCGAUGCCGGAUUAGCUAGUUGGUGAGGUAAAGGCUCACCAAGGCGACGAUCCGUAGCUGGUCUGAGAGGACGACCAGCCACACUGGAACUGAGACACGGUCCAGACUCCUACGGGAGGCAGCAGUGGGGAAUUUUGGACAAUGGGCGCAAGCCUGAUCCAGCCAUUCCGCGUGAGUGAAGAAGGCCUUCGGGUUGUUAAAGG
rnacentral:rRNA from 1 species